GUCUCCUUCUCUAAAGUUUCUUCUCUAAAAUUUUAGGAAGUAUCCCUCUCUCUCGCCACUCUAUCUUGAUUCUGGUUCACAGCCGCCAUGAAUCGCCGCCUCCCUCUGGCGCGACGAGGUCAGCGCCUGUUCUUCUUCCUCCUCCUCUCCUUUCCUUUUGUGCCCUAUUUCUUCCCCAAUAACAAAAUCCCCAAUUUCUAGGGUUUUCAGCCUCCCUUUCAUCUCUGAAUUUCGCCCCUCCGGUGAGUCCCGCCAUUGUCGCCGCCUCGCACAGUUGCUCCCUGCCUCAGUUGUAGAAUCAGAUUGGCGGUGGAAAGCCCAAAAUGAGAUGGUUAGGAACUCAAUUUUGUUGCUCUCUCAAUUCUUCCAAUUCCCAGCCCUAAUUUUAUGAACUAUUGAAGUGAAGCACCUGCUGACAUUAAUAAACCUGUAUCUGCACCUGCUGGAAUCAUUGAUUCUUUGGGAGUUUUGAUAGAGAAAUUUGGAACAAGAGCUUGAAAUAUGAAGUUAGACAGCAUAUUGACUCUAUGGAGUUGCCUGCGGGAUUGUGAUCUUGGGUUUGGCUCUUUUAAGCAUACUGGAGAAGAUACAAUAUGUUUGCCAUUAUGAGAAUUGUGGGAAGGUGAUUGUAGAUAUACAACAAGUCCAACAGAUUUGCUGAAGCUGAGAAUAUAUUGAGAAAGAUUCUUCAUAUGAUGGAAUUAUGAAAGGUUUAUCAUCUUCUGUUAUUUUAUUAUUAUCUAUUCUACAUGAUCUUUCAACUUCAUUGUAGCUUGGUGACAUUUUGUACUUAUUAUCUAUCUCUUCCAAUUACUUUGUUGUUUUAACUGGGAAUAUGAACUUAUUUUUUACAUGUGCAUUGACAUUUUCCUUAUUCUGCUGGUUCAAAACUCAUGGUGGUAAGAGUACAUAAAUUGUCUGCUGAUUUGUCCUCUAGAAACACCUAGUCCCUUAAAACCUGAUCGUGUUUAGCCACAUAGGAAUUAGAAUUAGAAGUGCCUCAAUUUGGUGAUCCAUUUUUCACUCUUAUCAGGCACCCCUUAUUUUCCUCAAGUCUAAUUGUAAUUAUAUUUCUUAUUAAUAGAGUGUCACUGACAUGCUAUAGCUGAGCUUGAUAAAGCCAAAAGUCUAUCGAACGAUUCAGAAAGGUUAGCAUGCAUGAGCAUUAUAACGGAACUUAAUCCAAGUCUCCCUUGAUGGAAGAUAAUGGAAAAACCUCUAACCUUUGCAAUAGAUAACGGUAUGAACUUGAUUUUAUGUUUAUUUAUUCUAUCUUAUGGUUCUUAGCUAUUUUUUCCUACUAAUUUGAAAACUCUAUGAAUAUUUGUAUUAGUUUAGCCACUCGUGAUGGUUUGCA